AUUGAACGCUGGCGGCAUGCCUUACACAUGCAAGUCGAACGGCAGCACGGGAGCAAUCCUGGUGGCGAGUGGCGAACGGGUGAGUAAUAUAUCGGAACGUGCCCAGUAGUGGGGGAUAACUGCUCGAAAGAGCAGCUAAUACCGCAUACGACCUGAGGGUGAAAGCGGGGGACCGUAAGGCCUCGCGCGAUUGGAGCGGCCGAUGUCAGAUUAGGUAGUUGGUGAGGUAAAGGCUCACCAAGCCGACGAUCUGUAGCUGGUCUGAGAGGACGACCAGCCACACUGGGACUGAGACACGGCCCAGACUCCUACGGGAGGCAGCAGUGGGGAAUUUUGGACAAUGGGCGCAAGCCUGAUCCAGCCAUUCCGCGUGCAGGACGAAGGCCUUCGGGUUGUAAACUGCUUUUGUACGGAACGAAAAGGCUCUGGUUAAUACCUGGGGCUCAUGACGGUACCGUAAGAAUAAGCACCGGCUAACUACGUGCCAGCAGCCGCAGUAA
rnacentral:rRNA from 1 species